rnacentral:rRNA from 1 species
UGCAGUCGAGUGCGCGUUCCUGUAGCAAUACAGGAAUGGCGCACGGCGCACGGGUGCGUAACACGUGGGUAAUCUGCCCUCUGAUGGGGAAUAACCCGCCGAAAGGCGGGCUAAUACCGCAUAACAUUCCUUGGACUCCGGUUCGAGGAUUCAAAGGCGCAAGUCGUCGGAGGUGGAGCCCGCGCACGAUUAGCUAGUUGGUAGGGUAAUGGCCUACCAAGGCUGUGAUCGUUAGCUGGUCUGAGAGGAUGGCCAGCCACACUGGAACUGAGACACGGUCCAGACUCCUACGGGAGGCAGCAGUGGGGAAUCUUGCACAAUGGGCGAAAGCCUGAUGCAGCGACGCCGCGUGGGGGAUGAAGCUUCUCGGAGUGUAAACCCCUUUCGACCGGGACGAAUACCUCGCAAGAGGGGUGACGGUACCGGUAUAAGAAGCCCCGGCUAACUACGUGCCAGCAGCCGCGGUAAGACGUAGGGGGCCAGCGUUGCUCGGAAUUACUGGGUGUAAAGGGUUCGUAGGCGGUGUGGCAAGUCGGGAGUGAAAUCUCUGGGCUCAACUCAGGGGCUGCUUCCGAAACUGCCGUGCUAGAGUGUGGGAGAGGCGCGUGGAAUUGCAGUGUAGCGGUGAAAUGCGUAGAUAUCUGCAGGAACACCCGUGGCGAAAGCGGCGCGCUGGACCACUACUGACGCUGA